AAUGGCCCAGCCUCAACAGCCAGGCCUCAGACCUCGCUGCCGAGGCGCUCUUCCAGAGUCCACCAGGACGAAGUGAAAUCCUGUGAGUUAUGAUUUCACAUUUAGUGGUGAGCACUCAGACAUUUGUAAGUAAAACUGAUCUCCCGGUUAUUAUCUUGUGUCUUCUGUUAUAACCCAGUACAGCAAGCCAGAGUGUGGUAAACACAAGAAAUCGACAACAUGGCGGAUGUGAUCUUCAAUAUGAGGACGGAGGGACGGGAUGAAGCCGACACUUCACAGUAUGGGGGUCACAUGGAUGUUGAUCAGAACUCUUCAGGCACGUUCUGAUGUCCGUGAUGAGGACAGAGAUGCAACUGUGUCUGCGUCCAGGACCUGCUGCCCGUCAUCCAGAUGUUGGUCAAGAAAGAAGCAGGUAAAAUUUAUUACUAAUCUAGAGAUGUCACAAUUCCCUGAA